rnacentral:tRNA from 1 species
CGGAGCGUGGCGCAGCCUGGUAGCGCACCUGCUUUGGGAGCAGGGGGUCAAGAGUUCGAAUCUCUUCGCUCCGACCA